UACAGAGGUCUCAAGCGUUGUUCGGAUUCAUUGGGCGUAAAGGGCGCGUAGGCGGCCACCGCAAGUCGACUGUGAAAUCUCCGGGCUUAACUCGGAAAGGUCAGCCGAUACUGCGGGGCUAGAGUGCAGAAGGGGCAACUGGAAUUCUCGGUGUAGCGGUGAAAUGCGUAGAUAUCGAGAGGAACGCCUGCGGCGAAGGCGGGUUGCUGGGCUGACACUGACGCUGAUUGUGCGAAAGCUAGGGGAGCGAACGGG
rnacentral:rRNA from 1 species